rnacentral:lncRNA from 1 species
AAAAAUAUUGCUUAUAUCACAAAAAUGAUUAAUACUUGCAAGUUAUGUUUUAAUCAACUAAUAAAGUAAUUUCAAUAUGAGAGGAUGCAAUAAUAACUUAUAUCAUUAUUUCUUUCAUUUAACUCAUUCUUCUUAAUUACAUUUUAAAUUCAAUUCUUUAGCACAUGUCUAGAGCACCCAUUGUUUAGAUAACAUCUUUC